rnacentral:rRNA from 1 species
GACGGGGGGUGCAAGCGUUGUUCGGAAUUACUGGGCGUAAAGGGCGCGUAGGCGGUCUGUUAAGUUCGGUGUGAAAGCCCCCGGCUCACCUGGGGAACUGCGCCGGAAACCGACAGACUCGAGUACCGGAGAGGAGGGUGGAAUUCCUGGUGUAGCGGUGAAAUGCGUAGAUAUCAGGAGGAACACCGGUGGCGAAGGCGGCCCUCUGGACGGAUACUGACGCUGAGGCGCGAAAGCGUGGGGAUCAAACAGG